rnacentral:rRNA from 1 species
AUGUUCAUGAAUGAAAGAAGGGAAAUAGAUGAAGUAUUCUUUAAACAGGGAUCUAUUCUGGAACACAACUUGCCUAUUGAAAUCCUAGGGGGUCCUCCUCCACCCAAGGGUGAUCCCGUGUUUGAGCUUAAACCAUUGCCUGAUACUCUUAAAUAUUCUUAUCUUGAUGAAAAGAAGAUAUAUCCUUUUAUUAUUAGUGUUAACCUUUCAGAGCAUGAAGAAGAGAGAUUAUUGAAAACUCUGAAGAAGCACCGUGCUACUAUUGGAUAUACUCUUGAUGAUCUUAAGGGCAUUAGUCCCACUCUAUGUCAACACAAAAUAAAUUUGGAAAAAGACGCCAAACCAGUUAUUGAUCACCAACGACGGCUAAAUCCUAAGAUGAAAGAAGUGGUAAGAAAGGAAAUAUUAAAGCUCCUUGAGGCAGGUAUAAUUUAUCCUGUUGCUGAUAGUCAGUGGGUAAGUCCUGUCCAUUGUCUCCCUAAGAAGGGAGGUAUUACUGUCGUUCCUAAUGAUAAAGAUGAAUUGAUUCCACAAAGAAUUAUUAUAGGUUAUAGGUUGGUAAUUGAUUUCCGCAAAUUGAAUAAAGCUACUAAAAAGAUCAUUACCCUUUUCCUUUCAUUGAUCAAGUGCUAG